rnacentral:lncRNA from 1 species
AGUUUUGUCAAAAGUCAACUCUAUAAGCAAGUAGAGCUAAUUCUAUCUCAAUUUCUAAAUUCAAUCAGGAUAAAAAAUCAAUACAUAUUCAAAAUCCAGCAAACCAGAAUCUCAGAUGUCCAAGCUAACCUAACUUUUAUCAAAUCUAAAUCAAAAUCUAGAUCUCAACCAAACCAACAACAUUAGUCAAACCAAUCUAACCAUCUUAACUCAAAUAAGUUCAAGCUUAAGGGUAAAAACUUCAAGACCAAUAACGC